rnacentral:tRNA from 1 species
GGUGGCUCAGUGGCAGAGCGCUUGCCUUGCAUGCAUGAAGCCCUGGGUUCGAUUCCUCAGCACCA